GGGUUGUGAGGUUAAGCGACUAAGCGUACACGGUGGAUGCCCUGGCAGUCAGAGGCGAUGAAGGACGUGCUAAUCUGCGAUAAGCGUCGGUAAGGUGAUAUGAACCGUUAUAACCGGCGAUUUCCGAAUGGGGAAACCCAGUGUGUUUCGACACACUAUCAUUAACUGAAUCCAUAGGUUAAUGAGGCGAACCGGGGGAACUGAAACAUCUAAGUACCCCGAGGAAAAGAAAUCAACCGAGAUUCCCCCAGUAGCGGCGAGCGAACGGGGAGGAGCCCAGAGCCUGAAUCAGUGUGUGUGUUAGUGGAAGCGUCUGGAAAGGCGCGCGAUACAGGGUGACAGCCCCGUACACAAAAAUGCACAUGCUGUGAGCUCGAUGAGUAGGGCGGGACACGUGGUAUCCUGUCUGAAUAUGGGGGGACCAUCCUCCAAGGCUAAAUACUCCUGACUGACCGAUAGUGAACCAGUACCGUGAGGGAAAGGCGAAAAGAACCCCGGCGAGGGGAGUGAAAAAGAACCUGAAACCGUGUACGUACAAGCAGUGGGAGCACGCUUCGGCGUGUGACUGCGUACCUUUUGUAUAAUGGGUCAGCGACUUAUAUUCUGUAGCAAGGUUAACCGAAUAGGGGAGCCGAAGGGAAACCGAGUCUUAACUGGGCGUUAAGUUGCAGGGUAUAGACCCGAAACCCGGUGAUCUAGCCAUGGGCAGGUUGAAGGUUGGGUAACACUAACUGGAGGACCGAACCGACUAAUGUUGAAAAAUUAGCGGAUGACUUGUGGCUGGGGGUGAAAGGCCAAUCAAACCGGGAGAUAGCUGGUUCUCCCCGAAAGCUAUUUAGGUAGCGCCUCGUGAAUUCAUCUCCGGGGGUAGAGCACUGUUUCGGCAAGGGGGUCAUCCCGACUUACCAACCCGAUGCAAACUGCGAAUACCGGAGAAUGUUAUCACGGGAGACACACGGCGGGUGCUAACGUCCGUCGUGAAGAGGGAAACAACCCAGACCGCCAGCUAAGGUCCCAAAGUCAUGGUUAAGUGGGAAACGAUGUGGGAAGGCCCAGACAGCCAGGAUGUUGGCUUAGAAGCAGCCAUCAUUUAAAGAAAGCGUAAUAGCUCACUGGUCGAGUCGGCCUGCGCGGAAGAUGUAACGGGGCUAAACCAUGCACCGAAGCUGCGGCAGCGACGCUGAUGCGUUGUUGGGUAGGGGAGCGUUCUGUAAGCCUGUGAAGGUGUACUGUGAGGUAUGCUGGAGGUAUCAGAAGUGCGAAUGCUGACAUAAGUAACGAUAAAGCGGGUGAAAAGCCCGCUCGCCGGAAGACCAAGGGUUCCUGUCCAACGUUAAUCGGGGCAGGGUGAGUCGACCCCUAAGGCGAGGCCGAAAGGCGUAGUCGAUGGGAAACAGGUUAAUAUUCCUGUACUUGGUGUUACUGCGAAGGGGGGACGGAGAAGGCUAUGUUGGCCGGGCGACGGUUGUCCCGGUUUAAGCGUGUAGGCUGGUUUUCCAGGCAAAUCCGGAAAAUCAAGGCUGAGGCGUGAUGACGAGGCACUACGGUGCUGAAGCAACAAAUGCCCUGCUUCCAGGAAAAGCCUCUAAGCAUCAGGUAACAUCAAAUCGUACCCCAAACCGACACAGGUGGUCAGGUAGAGAAUACCAAGGCGCUUGAGAGAACUCGGGUGAAGGAACUAGGCAAAAUGGUGCCGUAACUUCGGGAGAAGGCACGCUGAUAUGUAGGUGAAGUCCCUCGCGGAUGGAGCUGAAAUCAGUCGAAGAUACCAGCUGGCUGCAACUGUUUAUUAAAAACACAGCACUGUGCAAACACGAAAGUGGACGUAUACGGUGUGACGCCUGCCCGGUGCCGGAAGGUUAAUUGAUGGGGU
rnacentral:rRNA from 1 species